GCGGCCGUCGGUGCAGAUCU
rnacentral:snRNA from 1 species